AUCAACCAGAGAUGUACUGUGGCAGGGCUGAUCUUUACCAGCCAGCCAGUGUUCAUAUGUCUGACUUGGAUAAUGAUGUUUCUUUCUGAUCUGCAGAGUGCCCUGCGUGAAAUAAUUUGCCGCAGGUGGGGGAAGAUGGACUAAGCUGAGGCUUGUCUUCUUCUGUGGUGGAUAUGUGUGGAAUUUCACAAGUCCAUGGUAUUGUCAGCUCUUCACUGCGACAGCAGUGUCGGUGGGGGUGCAGGCAGGGCUGGAGAUUCCUUGGUAAUUCCCAGGCCGUAAGUCCUCAGCCGGCAGCUUGGCUAUAAAUCUGCCAGGCUACCAAGGAGGAAGCAAGAUAAGGGCAGAGGCCGUUCAAAGCUUAUGUGCCAAGCCAGAAAUCCAGAAGAGACGUCAGUGAAGGUCCGGGUCUAGUUUGCCGAGAGAUCAGUCCAAGUCAAGGUUCAGGGGAUAGGAAGACACACAGUGGUCACACCUGACGUUGUAGUCAGCAACAAGCUGAAGCCAAAGAUUUGACUUUUAAGGAGCAGGUUUGUCAGGUGUGAGCCAUCAGCGUUUUGGCCUUAAGUGGACAGGCCUGCCCCUCUUCUGCCUGACCUUCUGUUGUCUACGUUCUGCAGGUGAGGGGGGAGUAUCCUGUUCACUGACUGCAUCUGGCUGAAGGGCUUCAGCUGUGUCUGGGGUGCUCUGCAGCUGAGGGGGAGAAGGAGCUGGGUUCUCAGGAGUUUCCUCCAUUUCUCCUUCUGGGUCUGCUGCUUCUGGGUCUGCUGCUGUUACUCCCAAGUCAUCCUCAUCUGAUGAGUCCUCUGAUGGGGCCAUGACAGGCAGACUAGGAGAUCCAACUAAUGCCACAACAUGUGGCCAUAAAGAUGGAGACAACCUGUGCAUAUCUGUCCACAGCUGGUGGGCUUGUUCCCGCCUCCUGAACCUUUGGGCUGGCUACGGACCUGCUUCCCUGGGGCUUCUUAAGAAAGACCUGUGUGUCCUGAGAGAAAGCAGGGACCCAAGCGGCUCAAAGGCCAGUAGAGGAACGAUGACCGUUGCAGGACUGGACAUUUCUGCGACACCUGGGAGACAGCAUCAGCCAUGAGCCAGCUGCCUAGCGGAGGCGCUGCUGCUACAGCUUCUCCUCGUCUGCAUCCAGAGGGCAGCAGCAGCCGAACCAAGCAGCAGCAGCAACAGCAGCGAGCAUCCUCUCCAGGAAGGCCAAAGGAUUCUCCCGUUCGCCAGCCCUCCCCAGCUGCUAGCUCAGCCCGCUCAGCGUCGGCUGGUGCAGUUGCUGCCUCCAAAGCAAGCUCCGCCCGGCAACCGCCGCCGCCGCCGUUGCCAGGGCAGAAACUGAGUCGGGCUAAGGGAGGAGGAGUGGGAGGGGACAAGCGGUCCCCACAGACUGCGCUUGUAAGGAGCGCAGCGUCGCUGGGAGCUGUCCAGGCCGGGGAUGGUGCUGAAGCGCAACCCACCUCGCCCCUGGUCUCCGCAGAAGGGUGCCCAAAACCAAACCCGGGGCCUGCCGCUGACAACCGAGAGGCGCCUCCCCGAGACGUCGAGUGUACAGCUUCCGGAGCCUGGGAGCAGCAGCUCCCGGCUGGAGAGGAGGUGGAAAGAGAGGGCACCUUUGCGCUUUCACAUCCACUACCCAAGAGCUGGAACCGAGGUAAAGUGGGCAGGUGUCUACAAAAGAGUGGAGGGGAGGCGGCUGGGGCUCCUCCGUCAUCUUGUGUGGCAGGGAAGGGCCCGGCCCUUGCAGGGGGCGGCGGCAGCUACUGGAAGGAAGGAUGCCUGCAAAGUGAGCUCAUCCAGUUCCACCUCAGGAAAGGGCUGGCAGCUGCCCAGACGCAAAGCAAAGGCAGCAACCAGGGGAACAGGGAGGACUCAGCAGCCAAGCAGCCCCAGCCUGCCUCCUCCUCGAGCCCAUUGCCAAUGGCACUGGCUGGGACUGAAGAGGGCAAUGGCUGCAGUGGAGCCCCCGAAGGAGCCUUGAAACUCAACCCUCAGCAGCAGGAGGGCCUGCAGGAGGAGAUGGAGAAACUGCUGGACGAGAAUGAGGCCCUCAAGAAUGAGAUAGACGAGCUGAGGACUGAGAUGGAUGAGAUGAGGGACAGCUUCUUUGAAGAGGAUGCCUGCCAGCUACAGGAAAUGCGCCAUGAAUUGGAGAGAGCCAACAAAAAUUGCAGGAUCCUUCAGUAUCGUCUUCGAAAGGCAGAGCGCAAGAGGCUCCGCUAUGCACAAACUGGGGAGAUUGAUGGAGAACUUCUGCGUAGCUUAGAGCAAGACCUGAAGGUUGCAAAGGAUGUUUCAGUGAGACUUCACCAUGAGUUGGAAAAUGUGGAAGAAAAACGCACCACCACAGAAGAUGAAAAUGACAAAUUAAGACAGAAGCUGAUAGAAGUAGAGAUUGCUAAGCAAGCUCUGCAGAAUGAACUUGACAAGAUGAAAGAGCAGUCCAUGAAAAGAAGAGGGAGCAAGGACUUGCAGAAAUCAGAAAAAAAGUCACAACAGACACCCGCUGAGGAGGACAAUGAAGAUCUGAAAUGCCAGUUGCAGUUUGUCAAAGAGGAGGCUGCUCUGAUGAGGAAAAAGUUGGCCAAAAUAGACAAGGAAAAGGACAGACUUGAACAUGAUCUGCAAAAGUACCGGUCAUUUUAUGGUGAUCUAGACAGUCCCUUACCAAAAGGGGAAGCUGGAGGACCACCUACCACAAGAGAAUCGGAACUCAAGCUUCGUCUGAGAUUAGUAGAAGAAGAAGCCAAUAUUCUAGGAAGGAAAAUAGUGGAACUGGAAGUUGAAAACAGAGGGCUGAAAGCAGAGCUUGAUGACUUAAGAGGUGAUGAUUUCUCAGGAGCAGCCAACCCCCUCAUGGGGGAGCAGAACGAAUCUCUCUCAGAAUUACGGCAGCAUCUUCAGCUAGUUGAGGAUGAAACCGAACUGUUGAGGAGAAACUUGGCUGAUGUAGAAGAACAAAACAAGCGCAUCACAGCAGAGCUGAACAAAUAUAAAUACAAAACUGGGGCCCAUGAUAGUUCCAGGCACCAUGACAAUGCCAAGACAGAUGCACUGCAGGAGGAGCUCAAAGCUGCCCGCAUGCAGAUCAAUGAUCUCAGUGGCAAAGUCAUGCAGCUUCAGUAUGAGAACAGAGUCCUGAUGUCCAACAUGCAGCGCUAUGAUCUGGCUUCUCAUUUGGGGAUCCGGGGCAGUCCCAGAGACAGUGAUGCUGACAGCGAUGCAGGAAAAAAAGAAAGCGAUGAUGAUUCUCGGCCCCCACACCGCAAAAGAGAAGGGCCCAUUGGUGGGGAAAGUGACUCGGAGGAGGUCCGUAACAUCCGUUGCUUGACCCCCACUAGAACCUUCUAUCCAACGUCAGCAGGGUGGCCGAAAAGCUUCACUGACCGGCAGCAAAUGAAGGACAUCUGCUGUGAGGCGGAACGCCUGGGCAAGACAAUAGAUCGCCUGAUUUCGGAUACAAGCACCAUAAUAACAGAGGCAAGAAUUUAUGUAGCAAAUGGGGAUCUGUUUGGACUUAUGGAUGAUGAAGAUGAUGGCAGCCGGAUACGGGAACAUGAACUUCUUUAUCGGAUAAAUGCCCAGAUGAAGGCAUUCAGAAAAGAGCUCCAGACCUUUAUUGACAGACUAGAAGUUCCAAAGUCUUCGGAUGAUCGAAGUACAGAUGAACCUUUGUCAGUGAGUCAGACAAGAAGUGCAAGAGCUAUAAGUUUCUGUAGGAAUCGCUACUGUUGUAAAAACACUGAAGACUACUUGUUUAGAAGAAGGGAAACCAGCCUGGAGAUGUCAAAAUGCAGGUCAUAAAAGAAGCACACAAGUGAGAACAAAAUCUCCACAAAUGAAUCAGAAUGGUGCUCAUCCAAAAAAAAAAAAAAGCUAGAACUUGGAGCCUUUUCCCACUUCACUGUUUUCACUGCUACCUCACAUUUGGACUGAAAUAUUUUUGAAAAGAUUCUUCCUCUACAAAAGACAGGUAUAAACUGAAAAGACGUUGCUGCAUCCAAAGGCAGUUUUGGAAAGUGUUUGAAGCAAGCUGAGAGUGGAGAAAAGACUGAGCUAUUUUGGAGCUUCAGAGUCCAAUGAAAAGCUUGAGUGAGAUCUGAAAAGAGAAGGACUUAAAUGCUGCACUGCACGGCUGGAGCCAAAGGCAAGAAGGCCCGUCCUUUAAUAACUCCCGCAUUCCAGGCAAGUCUGAGACACUUCGCUGUUGAGCCAUUGCAGCUA